UUGGAGGGCAAGUCUGGUGCCAGCAGCCGCGGUAAUUCCAGCUCCAAUAGCGUAUAUUAAAGUUGUUGCAGUUAAAAAGCUCGUAGUUGAAUUUCGGGGUCAGUAGGUUGGUCAUGCCACUGGUAUGUACUGGUCUCACUGAUUCCUCCUUCCUGAUGAACUGUAAUGCCAUUAAUUUGGUGUUGCAGGGAAUCUGGACUGUUACUUUGAAAAAAUUAGAGCGUUUAAAGCAGGCUAACGCCUGAAUACAUUAGCAUGGAAUAAUGAAAUAGGACGUUCGAUCCUAUUUUGUUGGUUUCUAGGAUUGACGUAAUGAUUAAUAGGGAUAGUUGGGGGCAUUAGUAUUCAAUUGUCAGAGGUGAAAUUCUUGGAUUUAUUGAAGACUAACUACUGCGAAAGCAUUUGCCAAGGAUGUUUUCAUUAAUCAAGAACGAAAGUUAGGGGAUCGAAGACGAUCAGAUACCGUCGUAGUCUUAACCAUAAACUAUGUCGACUAGGGAUCGGAUGAUGUUAAUUUUUUAAUGACUCAUUCGGCGCCUUACGGGAAACCAAAGUGUUUGGGUUC
rnacentral:rRNA from 1 species